AUUCAAAUUUUCUUUCAUUCAAUAAUAUUUUACAGAUAACAAAAGCCAACACUGAUUCAUGUUCUGCAUCUAAAAGCACUGUUCAGAGUGUUGAAAACUGUCCAACCAACGAGAAAGAAUGGAUGAGAGCUUCUCAAAGAAAAAACUGCUCAGCAUUUGCCAGCCAGUGUAGUGAUCCUGGAAACUUUGUGUACCAUUGUGUUAUAAGUUCAUCUCUAAGUUGAACAUUGGAAGUUUGUGCAUAUAAAAAGAUUAUUAUAUUUGGAUACUGCACAGAAUAUAGCUACAGUGCAAACAGAAUUCAGCCAAGUUUGGGUGCAGCUUGUACCAACUUCACCGAAAACCCAUGUCCAACUGGAUAUCCCUCCAAUGAGGCAUACAAAUACCCUGGUUGUUAUGACCUCAUAAAGAAAACAACAACAGAAAAACCAACAACAAUGAUUCCUUUUACUUCUGACACAACAGUAUUAACAACAACAGUGUCUGGACUUAAAGGGU